rnacentral:rRNA from 1 species
GAGUUUGAACCUGGCUCAGGACGAACGCUGGCGGCGUGCCUAACACAUGCAAGUUGAGCGGAGAUAUAUGGAGCUUGCUUUAUAUAACUUAGCAGCGAACGGGUGAGUAACACGUAGAUAAUCUAUCCUAUACUGGGGGAUAGCCCGAUGAAAGUUGGAUUAAUACCGCAUAUAGCUAUAUAGUUGCAUGAUUAUGUAGUGAAAGAUUUAUUGGUAUAGGAGGAGUCUGCGGCACAUUAGCUAGUAGGUGAGGUAAAGGCUUACCUAGGCGACGAUGUGUAGCCGGUCUGAGAGGAUGAACGGCCACAAUGGAACUGAGACACGGUCCAUACUCCUACGGGAGGCAGCAGUGGGGAGUAUUGCACAAUGGGGGAAACCCUGAUGCAGCAACGCCGCGUGAGUGAAGAAGGUUUUCGGAUUGUAAAGCUCUGUUAGCAGGGAAGAGGAAGGACGGUACCUGCAGAGGAAGCCACGGCUAA